rnacentral:lncRNA from 1 species
GCUUGAAGAUAUGAUUUUAGCUUUGAUUGUUUAUGACUCUGAAAAAAAAAUUAUGCCUAAGAGACUUUUUGAUAAAGAAAAAUAGUCUAUUGAUAUCAGCCAAAAUUAGAUAUUGAGAGUUUUAAAUAUUAUAGAAGAUAUGUAAAUAGUAGUUUUAAUGAUACUUUAGACCAUUAAUAGAAUAGAUAGAAGAUUUUUAAAAAAAUAAUAAUUUGAGUCAUAUAUAAUUGCAAUAAUGUAACACAAUGAAACAUAUAUAUUUUGUGAGUUAGAUGGAGCUAUCAUUAUAAUUCCAACAACAUACAAGCUGAUGAAGACUUUUAAUAGAAGAGAUAAGUAGUUUCAAAUAAAAGACCUUGGAGAAUUUUUACCUCAAUAUUUGGACCAAGAAUAUAAAAAAGAAGAUGCAGACAUAGAUGUAGAUGAAAAAAAUAGAGAUAAUAAGGUCAGCACAUGCCGGAGGAUGUGCAGGUUUGGAGAGGGUGGAUGUUGUAGUAUAAAAGCUUAUAGUAUGUAAAAAUUAGUUAGAA